AAGAGUGCUUCAAAGUGAAGAAAAACACGAGCUAAAAAAUAUGAACGGUUGUGGCAAAUGGUGUUUCGUCAGUCUAUAUUUUUUCCACUUUCAGGUGUCACAAGACUCAACUGGCAAGUGUUGGUGAUCAGGUGUCUUUUCUCUGCGGUGGCGAUGAGCCCAGGAGCACUGGUCUGUGACUGGUUCAGCUCUACCACGGACACCGGAGACAAGGGGAGGAGUGCUGGCCUCUUUCCAGUCACCUGCAGGUGUGUUUGCAUGAGAGGCAGCGGAGGAGAGUCAGG